AAGCAGUGCAACAUUGGAGGCCUUAUUUAUGGGGUCGAGGCUUCCUAAUUCGCACUGACCACUUCAGCUUGAAGUACCUAUGGGAACAGUAGCUUACCACUCCACCGUAGCAACAUUGGAUAAGCAAACUCAUGAGCUUUGAUUUACAAGUAGAAUACAAGGCUGGACAUUUAAGAAAGGAGGUAGAUGCUCUAUCUUGCCG
rnacentral:misc_RNA from 1 species